rnacentral:rRNA from 1 species
UACGAAGGGGGCUAGCGUUGCUCGGAAUCACUGGGCGUAAAGCGCACGUAGGCGGCUUCUUAAGUCAGGGGUGAAAUCCUGGAGCUCAACUCCAGAACUGCCUUUGAUACUGAGAAGCUUGAGUCCGGGAGAGGUGAGUGGAACUGCGAGUGUAGAGGUGAAAUUCGUAGAUAUUCGGAAGAACACCAGUGGCGAAGGCGACUCACUGGACAUGUAUUGACGCUGAGGUGCGAAAGCGUGGGGAGCAAACAGGG